rnacentral:rRNA from 16 species
CGGGCUGCGAGAGCGGUACCAAAUCGAGAUGAACUCUGAAUACCCUGUGUGUAGCGAGGCAGUCAGACUGUGGGGGAUAAGCUCCAUGGUCGAGAGGGAAACAGCCCAGACCGCCAGCUAAGGUCCCCAAGUACCAGUUAAGUGGGAAACGAUGUGGGAAGGCUCAGACAGCUAGGAGGUUGGCUUAGAAGCAGCCAUCCUUUAAAGAAAGCGUAAUAGCU